UUUCUUUUUUUUUUUCUCUUUUUUGUGGAGGGGGUGGGGAGAUGUUGGAUAGUAAAGAGAAACUCCAUAACUAAAGAAAUAUGACCACAAUCAAAUAAGAAAAACCAGCAAAAUAAUUGAAACUUGGCCUGAAAAUUUGAGAAUGGUGAAAACAUUUCUAGGCACAUCACAGUACAUAAUGAACCAUGGUCAGAUUCCCAAAUUUACAAUGUAUGAAGAUGAGAAAACUAACAAAGCAAGACAAGCUAAAACGAAAAGAAAAUAGAGAAGUUAAUGUUAAGCCAUGUUGGUUUGUUAUGUACCAUAAUUAUCAAAACCGAAAACAAAAAAGCAGUUUGCAACCCACAUUAAACAAGUCCAAAUAUAUGUCAUUUCACUUCCAUUCUGAAAGUUGAAAAAGAUGCUUCAUAUGUAUAAUGUUAGUUUUCCACUUUGUUUUCUCAAGGAUAUGAGAGGCAGAUAGCGAGUGAAAGGGCAAGAAAAGUUUUUGGUGUCUGCAUAGAUUUACCACCACUUAUGUCAUAAAUAACUUUAGGCAAGGAAAAUGACAUUGAAGACAAGCAUCUUCAAUUGUGCCAGAAUGGCUGUAUUAAAGAAGCAUCUAAAGAGUGAAGUAAAAAAACUUUGAAAAUUACAAAAAGCAAGCUAAAUGUUACGCCAAAUUAAGAAAAUGACAAGAACCUUUUCAGGCAGCUCUACACACUCCACAAGCCAGUGCUCAUUUGAAUAUUGAAGUAAAUACAUACACACAUAAAAACUAAAUUAAAAUUAUAUAAUAAAUAUCUAACCAGUAUAGAUUCUCCAUCCAAGUAGGUUAUGGCAUAAUUACCGCUCUUAUAUAAGGAGAAUCCUCGUGCUUUAAUAGACCAUGCAUUUGUUUGACAGUGAGUUUCAUGGUAAAAAACUUGUACAGUAGACAGAAAGCAGUUGAUGGCCCCCGACAGUUUCCAGUCAUCCAUGGCUCCACAUGGUCAACUUGAUUGUAUAUUUCAUCUAUCACUUCAUGGUACGUUUUUAACCGAUACAGCUCCUUGAAGUAGUCCGAGGACAGAAUAUUCAUACAAAGAACCUUCUCCAAUAGCGAGUCAAUGGGCUUCCCACUUGUCUGUAUCUCCAUAAUUGACUAUCAAAUAGGUGCACUCCUAAGUUCUACAGAACGAGAGAGGGGGGAGGAAUCCAAAAUCAAAUCGGAAGAAAUAAUCACGAUCUGUCUGAACCUUGGUGGCUUGGUUCUUCCACUUUUUCAUCAAGCGGCAAUCGAAAAUCAAUUGCUCAAAAUUAAAAACCUAAUGCGAAAAUGAGCAACUAAAAAAGAGGGAUUUCGCCCUUUCUCG
rnacentral:misc_RNA from 1 species